GCCGUGACUCAGCAGUUCCCAUACAUUGCCAGGCAGAGAUCAGGAGAUGCUCUGUUGCAGAGCAGAUAUCCCCUGUAGAUUGUGGAGAGCCCAGGCUGGAGCAGAAAAGUGUGAGGAGUCAACAAAUCACGUGAAUGUCUGAAUUUCCUAAAUAUAUGUAGUAGUUACACACCAUCUUUGCAUGUUCAUCAUUUCACAACUCAGACAACAAGGAUAAAAACUGUAACGUUUCUGGAUUUAUCUGUUUUAUGGAAUACUAUAGUUCUAACCAAGCAUAACUAAAUUUUAAAAAUGUGUUUCUCUCCAACUGUGCUGUUGAUUUAUACCACUAAUAGGCUAUCAGAAUGGACUGGCAAAGAAGAACCAGGGAGGUGAUGAAGACUUCUUAUCAUGGGCUCUCCAGAACUGAAGCCACAUGACAAUAUGCUGGAUGCAUUAGGAGUCUAGACAUAUGGCUAGAAAAUGGAACAGCUGUAUUUGUUUGAACAGCCUGAAGGUACUGCUUCCUCAGCAGCAAAAAUUCUUACGAUGGACAAGUUCAGACUUCAGGAACAGUCCUACAAACUCUCAUUAUGAUGAAUAUUCUUGGAUUCAUCUACAGACUGCAGUAAUAUCAAAAAAGAUAAAGACAAAGAAAUCAUUUUGUGCCAAAAUGAGACUUCUCAAGUCUAUCCCAGUGUAGGGGUUGUUUGUUGUAAACCUUUUAUUAAAUCAGAUAAAAUUUCAAUGUAACCAAAAGUAAUUUGGAACGAACGUGAUUUUGUUACAUAGUCUGAAGUUAGAGAUUUUAUAAAUGAUUGAAAAGUUUGAAACAAUAUGUGUAUGCACUCUCUUUGAUCUCCAACUUCUAAUAUCUACUUGCUAUUGUAUUACUUUAAAAUAUCUUACCCUCUGAGGUAAUUUGCUAAUGAGACAACAUACGUAUCUGACCUUAAUAUGACUUUUUCAGUCCCUGGUAUGAAGAAUUUGAUUGCUACAGAUAAUGUAAUUCUGAGAAAUUCAUGCAUGAAACUUAAUAAGAUAGAAAAGUAUUUGAAGCUAUUUGGAAAGAAAAACAAGUUAUCAAGAAUAUAAGAGUAUGUUAGAAAAACUACAGCUACAGAAGAAUAAGGCUCUUUUUUAUUGUAAUGAAGCAUCAACAGUGGUGAAGAAAAUACAUGGGUUCAAAAAUGCCUUUAGGAAAAUUUAAUGAGAAAAACAGCAGCACUAAUGCUUUAUUAAGGCUCCAACUGCAUGGUGCAAUGAGCACUGGGUAAAGUAAUACAUCUUAAAUUGAUUACAUUGAUUAAAAUCAACAGUCAAAGAAUUAUUUUCCUGUGUAAGAGAAAAACAGGAAUUUAAGAAUACCCAAACCAGUAAAAAUCACAGUAAAGAAGAGGAAUCAAGGCAGAACUUACAGAUAACGAACUUAUACGUUUUCAUUCCUGUGAACAUGUGGAUUUCAUGUUGUAUGCAAUCACAGAAUGACUAAAUAUUAUGGAUUUUAAUGAGAAAAACAUAUGAAAUCAUACAAAAUUCCAACCAGCGAACAAGAAAACGAAAGUAUUUUCCAAGAAUCACCCUUUACUAUUAUUAUUACAUAGGAAUCUUGAAAGAGGUCACAACAAACCCUUUUUCUUUUGAUCCGUUCCAUAAAUAUCAAUUUCAUGCUGAGAUCAGUAGGAUGAGUGACAUGCAAUUGGACAUUGGGGCAAUUCAAAACACAACUUCAGAAGUGCAAAAAUCACAUACGUGUUCUGAACUGUGUCUUGUAUAAGCCAUUUACAUUGUUGGGCACAGAAACCCAAACAGUUUAAGGAUCUGUCUUAUUUAACCUUCUGAUUUGUACAGUCAUAACAUGGCUAAAUAAAAAGAACUGAACAUUUGAAUCUGAGCAUGAACAGAUGGAACAGGAGUCUAGAAAGGACUAGUUAUAAAUGUCACAGACAAUAGAGCUGCACUGGUGAGAUACUGCAAUAGUCAAAGCAAUGGAAUGACACUAUUAGACUUCUAGACCAUAAAUGAAAAAACAAAUUACAAUAGCAUGAUAAAAGCAUAAAGAAUGAAGAAACGGGUAAGGCUUUUGUUCUGUUUAGGAAUACCAAAUAUCCAUUUGUUCUGUUUUAACAAAAACCUGUUAAAUAAAAUAUCAGAGUAGAGAAUGAUGUCCAGAAUAGUGCAUCUGGAUUCCAUCCUGUGUACAAACUGACAAAGCCAUUAUCAGAAGCAUUUUUCUCACAGACAUACACACAGUAUUUUGAAAGGAUCUAGGGGUGAUUGUAUAAAAAACAUCAGCAAAAUGCAGAGCCUGAUUUCACUGGUGUGAGAACAGAAAGGAUUGAAGAUUAUUUAAUCAUCAUGCUUACUGGGAUUACGCUGUGAUUAAACCUGAAUUGUGGAAGAGAGAGUCAACCGUCAUCCAAAAUCUGUUUUGUGGAAUGAGAAGGUCUUUCUCUUUUCAUUAUUGUUUAAGAAUGUUAUAAUUCCCUUGUCUUCAUAAUAGGUAUGUAUGCUAAAAUCCUCUCUUGUUCUUAGGUAAGAUGAUUCCCUUGUACUUUUUAAAUACCAGUUCAAAUGCC